CCAGUUAUAUCAAAUUGUUAAUGAAGAAAUGAUGAAUGUUUGCAGAUUCACUCAUAUAGCUAAGCACAGCAUUUCCACUGUCCUUUUUCUCUCCACUUGAUGGAAUUUUACUAUUUGCAGUCUAUGGAGAUGUUUAAGAAUGAUAGCAAAGUUCAAGUAUGUUCAGUGAAUGUUAUUUUAGACAUCUUAUGUCUCUUUGAAUUCCCAUUGUCUUUUUAAUUCCAUGUGAAACUUCCUUCUGAGAGAUAGUGAUGCAAAUGUAAAUAUUUGCUAUUUAUACAUGUAUUUAUUUGUUUGGGGGUUUUAUUCAUUUUUUCAUUUAUCUAUUGUGUAGAGGGCAAGUAUAGCACUAAUAGAACUUCUCUAUAUUAUUCUGCCAGUGUUCCCUGUCCUACCCUGGAAAAAAUACAUCCUUCCUUUUAGAUUGAACUGUAACUUACUGUGUGCUCACUCUUUUGAUUGUUCUGGACAGAUAUCAUCAAGUGAGAAUUGUGCCAUGUCUGAUACAGUUUAUUAACUAAUAUAUCUAUGACUAACCCAUGCAGGUUAUGAAAGUCUAUAUAUCACUAAAUAUACUUAGCAAUUUAUUGUCCCAUCAGAUUAUUAAAAAAAAAUGUAAAAAACAAAAAAUCAAUUAGAAAGGGAAAUUUAAGAUCAUUAAAUGAGGUAUAUUGAUAUGUAUCUCCAAAGAGAUACACACAUAUGUUUAAGGAGAAAAAAUCAAUAAUACUUCACAUUUUUAUACAAUAUCAAAAUACACUUCUUUCCAUUCUCUUCUUUUACCCACAUGUUGAAGUACCACCAAAGACCAUAGAACUCAAACACAGAAAUGACACAGUGAAAAAAAUUCUGAAUUGGGAUAUAUUACUAUACUGUAGAAGCAAAAAUUGCUUAUGGCUUAUAUCUUUUAUAAUCUAUGGAAUAUGUUCAUAUAACAUAUAUAAGUGUAACCCUGUGGUAAAUCUGAGUUUUCAUUCAGUAAGUAUAAUUCUGCUAAAGGAGAUAUUAAUUAUUAAAAUUUUAUUAUUAAUUAAUUAAAAAGUGAAGUGGUUGUUGUCUGUAUGUGAAAUUUCGUGAGGUGCUGCUUCCAGAGAGAACAUCUUUUAAUAAUUCUCUCUGGCUUUUCCCUUAUAUGUCCUCCAUACUAUGUUUGUAAUUAGUUUGUGUUGCAAAAAGCAAAGGCUAUGCAGAUCACUGACAAAUUUAAAUUAAAAACAAAAAGACAACAUCUGAUUUUAAAGCUGUGGAAAAUGAAUUGUUAUAAAAUAAUAUUAAAGUAUAUUUAAAGAUUAGAGGUUUGUUGCAGUUUGGAGGCAUAGGUCCCACCAAUAUCAAAGUGAAAAUAGAAGUGGCAAUGUACUGGUUUUUGCCCUUCUGCAAAGGAGUAGAAAAGAAAUAAAAAUGUUACAAAUGAGCUAUAAGAUAAGGGAGUUCAACUGAACUGAUCAGAGAAGUAGGGCAGUAAGUGUCCUAAUUUGAUAGGAAAAAGUAAUAGCUUAGAAAAAAGUUGGAUUAAAGAGUUUUUCAGCACAACUGGGACAAUAUGCAAAGUCUGAGGACAUCCUCUGAAAUUUUCUCAAGGGUACUAGUAGUGUCUCCUCAUACUGCUGUAUAUUUGCAAAGAGGACGUAUUUUCUUACUCAUAUAUUCAAAAAAUAGUGUAGAGAAUAAUUUGAAAUUUGAAUACAAUUAAUUCACGCUAACCCCAGAUUAUUUUGGGUUUUUUUUAGUGGGCAGGUAAAUUCUUGUGAUAGUUGAUAUUUUUGAAAAUUAUUUAUCUGUAUCACAAACUACCCCUCCUAGGAGCACUGGAUCUUCACACUGAGUGCAUGUCUCACAGGAUAUAGAUGGGAAAAUUGUGGUGAAAGCAUGAGGUUUGGAGUCUGUGCAAAUUGCCUAUCUUUAUUGGCAUCAUGACGAUGUUAUUUUGACUUUGUUUUGUGAAAUUCUUUUUGUGAUCAAUAUGGAGACACUGAGCAUUUAUUUCAAUGGUCCGUUGAAGACUCCUAUAUUUAUGCCUGGAGCAGUCUUUUCCUGAUGGUCUGUACCACUUGGAAAGGACUCAUGUUGGAACAGUUCUUGGAACACUGCAGCCUAUGGGAAGGGUCCAUGUUGCAGAACUCUGUGGAGGGCUGUAUUCUGUGGCAGGGACCCCACACUGGAGCAGGGAAACAACAUGAGGAGGAAGGAGUGACAUAGGUAAAGUGUUAUGAGCUGACAACAGCCCCUAUUCCUAAUCUCUCUAAAUACACAUGAGGAGGAACAGGUUGAAGAGUCACGACUGAAGCUGACACUGGCAAGAAGGGUGGUGGGAAGGUAGUUUUGUUUUGGUUUUGUUUCUCACUAUCCUAGUUUAUUUUAAAUUGGCAAGAAAUUAAAUUAAUCUUACCCAAUUCACGUCUGUUUUGCCCAUGAGUGUAGUUGGUCAGCAUUCUCACUAAUCUUGACCCACAAGACCUUUUUCCAUUAUCAACAUGUUUGUGGCUGUUGCCUGCUGCAUUAUUUUGGCAAAUUCUCAAAACGUUUGUGAUAAUAAAGCUCUUACCUUCACUUCUGUUGCCAUCUUUCCACUUGUUUUUGGGUGCAAUAAAACUUUGUUUUUCUUGCAACUAGA